CCAACAGAUCAAUUGGUAUACCGUGAGGGCUUUUGUAAGUCGUACCUCUAAUCCUUGUGAUUCCUGUCGGUUAUUAAAUGCCGUUAAUGGAAUCACUGGUGGAGUGGAAUUAUCGAUUACAUUUUCUUUGGGGCUCUAUUGAGGAAUGAAAAGCACUCGAUAUCCAGCAUGUGUACUUCAUCAAUGAAGAGAACACCAGGAAUAAAUCUCCGAGCCUGCCAUUGACGUGAACGGAGUAUCUAGACCAAGAGCUUGGGCCAUUCCCAUCGCAAUUGCAGUUUUACCAGUGCCCGGUUGUCCAGCCAACAAAAUUGCUCGUCCUGCGAUCUUUCCAU